UCAAGCGACUAAGCGCAUACGGUGGAUGCCUUGGCGGUCAGAGGCGAUGAAGGACGUGGCAGCCUGCGAGAAGCAUCGGGGAGUCGGCAGCAGACUUUGAUCCGGUGAUGUCCGAAUGGGGAAACCCACCGCGCAAGCGGUAUCCCAUCCUGAACACAUAGGGAUGGGAGGCGAACCCGGGGAACUGAAAUAUCUAAGUACCCGGAGGAAAAGAAAUCAACCGAGAUUCCCCCAGUAGUGACGAGCGAACGGGGAACAGCCCAAAAGUUGCAUCGGUUCUAGUCGAGCGGUCUGGAAAGGCCGGCCAUAGACGGUGAUAGCCCGGUAGGUUAAAGGGCCGAUGUGAUGAAAAGUGAGUAGGGCGGGGCACGUGAAACCCUGUCUGAACAUGGGGGGACCAUCCUCCAAGGCUAAAUACUACUGACCGACCGAUAGUGAACCAGUACCGUGAGGGAAAGGCGAAAAGAACCCCGGUGAGGGGAGUGAAAUAGACCCUGAAACCGUAUGCGUACAAGCAGUCCGAGCCCUUCGGGGUGAGGGCGUACCUUUUGUAUAAUGGGUCAGCGACUUACAUUCUGUGGCGAGCUUAACCGGCUAGGGUAGGCGAAGGGAAACCGAGUCUGAAUAGGGCGAAUAGUCGCAGGGUGUAGACCCGAAACCGAGCGAUCUAGCCAUGUCCAGGGUGAAGGUGCGGUAACACGCACUGGAGGCCCGAACCCACUCCCGUUGCAAAGGUAGGGGAUGAGAUGUGGCUAGGAGUGAAAGGCUAAUCAAGCUCGGAGAUAGCUGGUUCUCCUCGAAAGCUAUUUAGGUAGCGCCUCGCACGAAUCUUCCUGGGGGUAGAGCACUGUUAUGGCUAGGGGGUCAUGGCGACUUACCAAACCAUUGCAAACUCCGAAUACCAGGACAGACUAUGCGGGAGACACACGGCGGGUGCGAACGUCCGUCGUGAAAAGGGAAACAACCCAGACCCACAGCUAAGGCCCCCAAAUCGUGACUCAGUGGGAAACGAUGUGGGAAGGCACAGACAGCCAGGAGGUUGGCUUAGAAGCAGCCACCCUUUAAAGAAAGCGUAAUAGCUCACUGGUCGAGUCGGCCUGCGCGGAAGAUUUAACGGGGCUAAGUCACGUGCCGAAGCUUGGGGUGUGCACGUAUGUGUACGCGGUAGAGGAGCGUUCCGUACGCCUGCGAAGGUGGAUCGAGAGGUCUGCUGGAGGUAUCGGAAGUGCGAAUGCUGACAUGAGUAACGAUAAGGGGGGUGAAAAGCCUCCCCGCCGAAAGCCCAAGGUUUCCUAGCGCAACGUUAAUCGGCGCAGGGUGAGUCGGCCCCUAAGGCGAGGCAGAAAUGCGUAGUCGAUGGGAAGCGGGUUAAUAUUCCCGCACCUCACCAUGAUGCGAUGGGGGGACGGAGAAGGGUAGGUGUACCGGGCGUUGGUUGUCCCGGGGAAAGGCGGUAGGUGUGGAUCUCAGGCAAAUCCGGGGUCCUCUACACCGAGCACCGAGACCAGGGUCUAUAGACCUGAAGUCACUGAUCCCAUGCUUCCAGGAAAAGCCUCUAAGCUUCAGUCAUGGUGGGACCGUACCGUAAACCGACACAGGUAGGCAGGGUGAGAAUCCCAAGGCGCUUGAGAGAACUCGGGUGAAGGAACUAGGCAAAAUGGUACCGUAACUUCGGGAGAAGGUACGCCCCCUGGCGUGGUCACGUGCGUGACUGAGCGUUGGGGGGUCUCAGUGACCAGGCCGCUGCGACUGUUUAUCAAAAACACAGCACUCUGCAAACACUUAACGUGGACGUAUAGGGUGUGACGCCUGCCCGGUGCCGGAAGGUUAAUUGAUGGGGUUAGCGAAAGCGAAGCUCUUGAUCGAAGCCCCGGUAAACGGCGGCCGUAACUAUAACGGUCCUAAGGUAGCGAAAUUCCUUGUCGG
rnacentral:rRNA from 1 species